UUCUCAUUUUUGUCUCAGCUCUCCUGACUUUUAAAAUGUAUACCAAAAAAAAGUCAUUUUGAAGCUGUCCAGUUAAGUGAGCUGUAAACUGGAUUUACAAUAUUGCCAAACCUGGUGAGCAGGAAGUACAGGAUCGUUUUGAAUUCAGCAGAUUUUGAAUAAUGCCAGAUCAGGAGUGGAUCUCUGGGUCCUUGGAGGGACUCUCUGGAAUUUCCUUAUCUGACCUAGAAAGUGUCUUGCCAAAAGAAACACAUUUGCCUUCUGUCCGUCUGAUACCCCAUUAUCCACUGCAGAAAAGAAGCCGGAAGAAAAGAAGUCAGAAGUCCAACCACAGCUGGAUGGACUUUUCCACAACAUAAUGUCUGCCUCUCAGACUCAUUCCAUUCACAAGUUGAUUUCUGUCUCCCUGAUCCAUUCAUUCUCCUUAAUAAUCAUUUACUGCUCCUCAAAACAAUGCUCUAUGUUUCCCAUCUCCUCGCUCCCCUGGGAAAAAGAGUACAUAAGCUUCUGUACCCCAUUGGGGGAUUGGGGUAAUCACACUGUAAUUCUCUCCCAUGAAUGUUAAUAAAUGUGUAUCCUUUUUCUCCUACUAAUCUGCCUUUUGUCAGGUGAUUUUCAGUGAACCUUCAGAAGGAAAAGGGGAAGUUUUCCCUUCACCCAUAUGCAGGCAUGUAAAGAUGUUCAUUGCAGUGCUGUUUAUAGCAGAGAAAAUGGCAAACACAAUCAAACAAUAGGGGGAUAGUUAAGAAAAAAAUGCACAGUUGCAGUUAGACUGGUCUCUACCGGCAGGGAGGUUUUUUUUCACCCUUUUUGAUUCUCACAGCAGCCCUAUGAUGUAGACAAAACCGGGUUCACAUUUAUUCUCCCCAUUAUUCAUGGGGGUGGGGGCCAGGAUGCAGACUGAGUUUUGAGAAAUUCUGGGCAGAGCUUCCAACAGGGAAUCAGAUUCUGAACUGGGACAGCUCCCAGGUGUCCUAAAGCGGAAUCCAGAGCUGACUCACAGCAGCGUGUGUCUGACAGGGGGAUCCAGCGGCAAGUCCCUACUCUUGGAUAAAGAUGAAACCACCUUUGCGAAAAUUAUGACAGAGGCCGGGCACGGUGGCUCACACCUGUUAUCCCAGCACUUUGGGAGGCCAAGGCAG
rnacentral:lncRNA from 10 species